UACGGAGGAUGCAAGCGUUGUCCGGAUUUAUUGGGUUUAAAGGGUGCGUAGGCGGUCUGAUAAGUCAGUGGUUAAAUAACCUUGCUUAACGAGGGAGAUGCCAUUGAUACUGUCAGACUUGAAUACUGUUUGGGUAGGCGGAAUUGGUAGUGUAGCGGUGAAAUGCUUAGAUAUUACCAGGAACACCGAUAGCGAAGGCAGCUUACUGAAGAGAUAUUGACGCUGAGGCACGAAAGUGCGGGUAUCAAACAGG
rnacentral:rRNA from 1 species